UGGGGAAUAUUGGACAAUGGGCGCAAGCCUGAUCCAGCCAUGCCGCGUGUGUGAAGAAGGCCUUUUGGUUGUAAAGCACUUUAAGCGGGGAGGAGGCAACUUGGGUUAAUACCCCGAUGUUGCGGACGUUACCCGCAGAAUAAGCACCGGCUAACUCUGUGCCAGCAGCCGCGGUAAUACAGAGGGUGCGAGCGUUAAUCGGAAUUACUGGGCGUAAAGCGCGCGUAGGCGGCUUGUUAAGUCGGAUGUGAAAUCCCUGGGCUCAACCUAGGAACUGCAUUCGAUACUGGCAAGCUAGAGUGUGGGAGAGGAAGGUAGAAUUCCAGGUGUAGCGGUGAAAUGCGUAGAGAUCUGGAGGAAUACCGAUGGCGAAGGCAGCCUUCUGGCCUAACACUGACGCUGAGGUGCGAAAGCAUGGGGAGCAAACA
rnacentral:rRNA from 1 species